rnacentral:rRNA from 1 species
UGGGGAAUAUUGCACAAUGGGCGCAAGCCUGAUGCAGCCAUGCCGCGUGUAUGAAGAAGGCCUUGGGGUUGUAAAGUACUUUCAGCGGGGAGGAAGGGAGUAAAGUUAAUACCUUUGCUCAUUGACGUUACCCGCAGAAGAAGCACCGGCUAACUCCGUGCCAGCAGCCGCGGUAAUACGGAGGGUGCAAGCGUUAAUCGGAAUUACUGGGCGUAAAGCGCACGCAGGCGGUUUGUUAAGUCAGAUGUGAAAUCCCCGGGCUCAACCUGGGAACUGCAUCUGAUACUGGCAAGCUUGAGUCUCGUAGAGGGGGGUAGAAUUCCAGGUGUAGCGGUGAAAUGCGUAGAGAUCUGGAGGAAUACCGGUGGCGAAGGCGGCCCCCUGGACGAAGACUGACGCUCAGGUGCGAAAGCGUGGGGAGCAAACAGG